rnacentral:misc_RNA from 1 species
AGCAGCCGCGGUAAUUCCAGCUCCAAUAGCGUAUAUUAAAGUUGUUGCAGUUAAAAAGCUCGUAGUUGAAUUUCGGAGUUCUACCGUCGGUCGGGCUACCAAGUCUGUACUGGUGUGUAGAAUUCCUACCUUCUGGGGAACUAUCAUGUUAUUAAUUUAGCGUGGUGGGAAACCAGGACCUUUACCUUGAAAAAUUAGAGUGUUCAAAGCAGGCUUAUGUCUGAAUACAUUAGCAUGGAAUAAUAGAAUAGGACGGUGGUCCUGUUUUGUUGGUUUCUGAAUCACCGUAAUGAUUAAUAGGGAUAGUUGGGGGCAUUAGUAUUCAAUUGUCAGAGGUGAAAUUCUUGGAUUUAUUGAAGACUAACUUCUGCGAAAGCAUUUGCCAAGGAUGUUUUCAUUAAUCAAGAACGAAAGUUAGGGGAUCGAAGACGAUCAGAUACCGUCGUAGUCUUAACCAUAAACUAUGCCGACUAGGGAUCGGACGAUGUUAAAUUUUAUUGACUCGUUCGGCGCCUUACGG